rnacentral:piRNA from 1 species
UGUACUUGAAGCUGUUAGUAGGUGU